rnacentral:rRNA from 1 species
AUUGAACGCUGGCGGCAUGCUUUACACAUGCAAGUCGAACGGUAACAGGUUAAGCUGACGAGUGGCGAACGGGUGAGUAAUGCAUCGGAACGUGCCCGAUCGUGGGGGAUAACGCAGCGAAAGCUGCGCUAAUACCGCAUACGAUCUGAGGAUGAAAGCGGGGGACCGUAAGGCCUCGCGCGAUCGGAGCGGCCGAUGUCAGGAUUAGGUAGUUGGUGGGGUAAAGGCUCACCAAGCCAACGAUCGGUAGCUGGUCUGAGAGGACGACCAGCCACACUGGGACUGAGACACGGCCCAGACUCCUACGGGAGGCAGUAGUGGGGAAUUUUGGACAAUGGGCGAAAGCCUGAUCCAGCAAUGCCGCGUGCAGGAAGAAGGCCUUCGGGUUGUAAACUGCUUUUGUACGGAGCGAAAAGGCUCUCUCUAAUACAGGGGGCUCAUGACGGUACCGUAAGAAUAAGCACCGGCUAACUACGUGCCAGCAGCCGCGGUAA